GGGUCGGUGCCCGAGUGGCCAAAGGGAACUGGCUGUAAACCAGUCGGCGUAAGCCUACGGAGGUUCAAAUCCUUCCCGGCCCA
rnacentral:tRNA from 1 species